UACGAAGGGGGCUAGCGUUGUUCGGAAUCACUGGGCGUAAAGGGCGCGUAGGCGGCCGAUCAAGUUGGGGGUGAAAGCCUGUGGCUCAACCACAGAAUUGCCUUCGAUACUGUUUGGCUUGAGACCGGAAGAGGUAAGUGGAACUGCGAGUGUAGAGGUGAAAUUCGUAGAUAUUCGCAAGAACACCAGUGGCGAAGGCGGCUUACUGGUCCGGUUCUGACGCUGAGGCGCGAAAGCGUGGGGAGCAAACAGG
rnacentral:rRNA from 1 species